GAAGAACUUCCAUUUCUAGAAUUGCACACCUAUUCUAAACCAACACAAUCGCAACUUCCAGCGUUGUAUUCGAACAAUUUCUGCGAUUAUCCAAGCGAUUUUCACAGUUCCAAACGCACCACAAAACUUCUAAUAAUGGCCUCCGCGAGCAAAUCAUUGAUCCAAACACUAAAACGCUACCUAAAGAAACCAUGGGAGAUCACAGGACCACAAUCAAGUCCGGAAUAUAAAUCCGCCGUACCAUUAGCUACGGAGUACAGAAUUUUCUCCCCUGCCACCGCACAAGCUAAGGCAAUCGUCCCUACGUCAAAUCCCGAAACCGUUUAUGAUAUCAAGUACUUUUCUCGUGAUCAGCGGCGUAAUCGUCCUCCUAUAAAGCGCACUGUUCUAAAAAAAGCUGACGUGGAGAAGAUGAUGAAGGAGAAGACCUUUGAUGUUAAUGAUUUCCCGAAGCCGUAUUUGACUGCUAAGGUUGAGGAAGAUUAUAAUGCUAUUGGUGGUGGUUACCAGAAAUGAAGGUAUAAGGUGGCGGGUUGGCAAAGACUCCGUAACUGGUGAUUAUUCAUUACCAGUUCUAGACCUAUCACAAAUCUCUGCUGGGUUUUCACUGGCUGUAUGCUCCAAGUCUGAGGUAUGAUAAGAUUGUGUCUGAAAUUCUAGCAGUGAGAGAACUUUGGGAAUUCCCAUGGUUCACAAGGGAAGUUUUUAGUUGACCAAAUUUUCAAAGGAAAGAAGAAUAACGCUAGAAUUUCCAAGUUUGCAAACAAUACAAGAAAGGUCAUUUAAGAUCUAUCUUAUAUGACGAAAAACUCCAAUAAAAUGAGUUAAGGGUUGGUAGCAUAUAGAAUUGAUGGAUUCCUGUUCUCUACUGAAUGGUUAUGAGACGAUGCUUUUAGAAUUAUCAAGCAAUCCAUCAUGCAUAAAAAAAAUUUGAUUCAAAACCAGAGAAAACCGUCUUGUUUAAAAUUUCUGCAGUGCGGAAAGAGGGAAAUUAAGGCCAGUUACUUUAACUUUGGAAACAUGUAGUUGAAGUAGAUGUCUUCACAAACAUGGUAAGAAGCAGGAGCCAUGUUUUUGAAGUGAAAGGAAAACCAAGUCUCAUAUGGCUCAAAAGGUAAAAACUCCAGAAGAAGAGAUUAAGAGAAUUGAAUUUGAAUAUUUUUUGCAGCGUGGAGCAAGCUUAACAGUAUGUAGAAAAAUAAAAGUUUCAACCAGAUCUUAAAGAGUCCUAGCAGAUGAAGGGCUUCCACAGAAAAAAUAAUUGCUCAAAGAAUUUCUAGAAAGUUACUAGAGCAGAAGCAAUUUCAUGUGGAACUUUAUUUUCCUAUGUAGCAAAAUAGGUGGCGACAACACAAUUUUUCAAAAGAUGACAAAUGCUAACAGAAAUGCAGUAACAUCGACUAGCUAAAACAGAAGUAAGGAAGGAUCUAGAAGAAAUUGAAAAAGGUCAUAUUGAUUUGUUCCAAAACCUGUACUGGAGACUCUGAGGCCCUCUUUUAAGUAUGAGAAUCUGCAUAUCCUUAUUGAGGAAGAAAGGUAUAUGCUGCAAAUAGUGGGGAGGAGGUAGCUAAAAUUGUUAAGGGCUGUGAAGGACAGUGUUAUAAAUAGCGCUCGCCUAGCGCUAAUAGCGUGAGGCGAUGCGAUGCGAGGCAGUGUCGCUACAGACCCUCUGUUGCGUUGCGUUUCAAAAUAGCGCUCGCCUUUGCCUGUGUGGCGAGAGGCGACAGUGUCGCGAGAAGCGAGUUUUGCGUUGCUUUUUAAAAAAAAAAAGAAAAAGGGCAAAGAUUAAACAAAAAGGGUUGCGAUUAGGGCUUGACAACAGAGCUUCUUCAACUUCGAACAAAACAACAGAGCUUCAUCUGAACUCGCGAUUAGCCGAUUAGGGCUUGCAUUUACUGUGCCAUCGUCUUCUUCAUCUGAAAGCUUGAGGUUUCUGCCAAGUGCCAUCUUCUUCUUCAUCAAGUUUCUGCCAUUGAAAGACCAGGGAGCCAAAUCAGUGAUGCUGUUUCAGUUGUCAACAAAUGCUUGGAAAGGAUGGAACAUGGCAAAGUUGGCUCCUCCUUAAACUGGAUUUUGAAAAAGCUUUUAUCCAAGGAAUGGAGGCUAGGGGAACUUUUGUCACACUUCCUAUAUAUUUUGGUGAUCGAGGACCUCAGCAAGAUGCUGAAUUUACUUUUGGGAGGAGAUAAGCCAAUGGUUUAAGAGUUUGGGCAUAGAUAGUGAUCAAGACAGCUUUUCAAUCAUUCUUUUAUUGCUGACAGCACAUCGCUUGACUGAUGAUUCUCAUACUCAUUAAGUUGUUUUCCGAGGCUGUGUUUGUGUUGCAUAUUAAUUUAUCAAAAUUUUCUUAUAGCUGGUCAUUGAAGUUCAGAACGUACAAUCAUCAGCAAGGAUUCUUGGUCGUAGAAUUGGUGAAUCUUCUACUGCAUCUGUAGGCUUGCUUCUGGGGGUUAGACAUAAAUGAUAAAUGCAUCUCCUCUUGGAAUGGUGUAAUAGAGAAGUUUGAGGAAAGAAUUUUCUCUAUAAAAAAAGACAAUAUUUGUAUAUGGGAGGCACACUAGCCUUUAGUAACAUUAUACUUGAUAGCAUACCUACCUUUCUAAUGUUUCUUUUUUAAA